rnacentral:rRNA from 1 species
AUACGUAGGGGGCGAGCGUUGUCCGGAAUGAUUGGGCGUAAGGGCGCGUAGGCGGCGCGGUAAGUCUGGAGUGAAAGUCCUGCUUUCAAGGUGGGAAUUGCUUUGGAUACUGCCGCGCUUGAGUGCAGGAGAGGUUAUCGGAAUUCCCGGUGUAGCGGUGAAAUGCGUAGAGAUCGGGAGGAACACCAGUGGCGAAGGCGGGUAACUGGACUGCAACUGACGCUGAGGCGCGAAAGUGUGGGGAGCAAACAGGAUUAGAUACCCUGGUAGUCCACACUGUAAACGAUGAAUGCUAGGUGUAAGAGGUAUCGGCCCCUUUUGUGCCGGAGUCAACACAAUAAGCAUUCCGCCUGGGGAGUACGGCCGCAAGAUUGAAACUCAAAGGAAUCGACGGGG